CAGAGUGCCGAAAGCUCCAACCUUGUAGAACCCGAAACUUAUCCAGUUGCCUUCGGCGGCGCGGCUCCCCCUGGGGACCGCAGCCCCCGCCUCAGGAGGUAAGGGCAGCCCGAGUACGAAACUCUUGUAUUAUGGUAUCUCUGAUUACUAUACAAUAAGUUA
rnacentral:misc_RNA from 1 species